ACGGGAGGCAGCAGUGGGGAAUAUUGGGCAAUGGGCGAAAGCCUGACCCAGCAACGCCGCGUGAAGGAAGAAGGCCUUCGGGUUGUAAACUUCUUUUACCAGGGACGAAGGACGUGACGGUACCUGGAGAAAAAGCCACGGCUAACUACGUGCCAGCAGCCGCGGUAAUACGUAGGUGGCAAGCGUUGUCCGAAUUUACUGGGUGUAAAGGGCGUGUAGGCGGAACUGUAAGUCAGAUGUGAAAUCCCGGGGCUCAACCCCGGAACUGCAUUUGAAACUGCAGUCCUUGAGUAUCGGAGAGGCAAGCGGAAUUCCUAGUGUAGCGGUGAAAUGCGUAGAUAUUAGGAGGAACACCAGUGGCGAAGGCGGCUUACUGGACUGUAACUGACGUUGAGGCUCGAAAGCGUGGGGGGCAAACAGGAUUAGAUACCCUGGUA
rnacentral:rRNA from 1 species